UGUGACCCGGAGGCGCUGGGGCUGUCCUGGGUCGUCACAUGCGAGAAAUCGUCUCACCCCAGCCAGUGUGACGGAGUGAGAGCAAAAGAAAGUUUUGAUAGCAGCGUACGAUUUAUAUUCAGCUGUAUGCUGGGCAGGUCCAACUUGGCAUUUCUUGGCUGUAUCUCUGAAGGAAAGUCAUCUUAAUCUCUAUGAGCCUCCAUUUCCUCAGCUGUAAAAUGGGAAGAUCUUCCUCACACUGCUGUGGAUCUUGUUCUGUCGCCUAGGCUGGAGUGCAGUGACGUGACACAAUCACAGCUCACUGCAGCCUCGACCUCCCAGGCUCAAGUGAUCCUCCUACCUCAGCCUCCUAAGUAACUGGGACUAUAGGUGCAUGCACCACCAUACCCAGCUAAUUUUUAAGGUGUUUUUUUUUUUUUUGUAGAGACAGGGGUCUCACUAUAUUGUCCAAGCUAGCCUCAAACUCCUAGGCUUGAGUGAUCCUCCUGCCUUGGCCUCUCAAAGUGCUAGGAUUAUAAGCGUGAGCCACUAUGCCCAGCCUUGUUAUUUUUUAAAAAAGGAUUUUAAAAAAUUAUAAAAAGGAUAAUAGGAAGCUGUUAGAGGGUGAUUUAAUCAGCAGUAACAUUCUCACUCAGGCUGUUGUGGGAGAACAAACUGUAGGGAGGGGAGAGUGGGGGCAGGAGAUGGUUGGGAAGCUAGUGCAGUCGGCCAGGCAAGGAGCAAUAGUGACUUGGCCUGGGUGGGUCACUUUGUGAUGAGGAUUAAUGAAAAGGCCAGACUGGGGUAUUUUUUGAAGCUAGAGUUUGAUAAUUGGUUGUGAGGGGUGGGAGAGAGAGAUGAAUCCUGGCCAUUUAACUGCAGUGAAAAGACUGGAGGAAUAGUUGGACAAGCGGAGGGACGGGGCAUACGAGUUCUGUUUUGAACAUGACAGGCCUCCGAGGUGUCCACUAGGCAGACGGGAUGUCAGGGCAGGGUUACCACCAUGUAGAUGGUCACUGCUAAGAGCUGGGCACUCCUCCAAACACAUACAUUAAAUCAUUUAGUCUUCUCAGUAACCUAUGAGGCGAGAGCUGUAGCUAUCCCUGUCCAUAGGGGGCGUAUCCUGUGUGCCAUUUCAGAUGCCCGCGGCCUCACCUCUUGUUCCAGCCAUUGCCCCAGUGACCAGUUUUGCACAGGUCUUGACCAGUGCCGUGUAAAUGUCGCCUGGCAGGGCCUCUCCACAUGCCUCUCGCCCAACACCAUGAUGGGGGGACACCCAUGGAACCUGCUUGGCAUUAACACAUGAGCCGCCCAGAAGUGAAGGGGAGCUAACAUUCCAUGGGAUGACUCGAGAGGAGCCAAUGGAUAACUGUCCCCCUUCUUCCAGUGAGUUCUGAAGUACGUUUCAUAAAGCUUCACAGAAAGACUGAGUGGUGUUCACUCAGAGAGAUGUUAACACACUCCCAUAUUGACUCCCCCCUUUCUCUGUUUCAUUCCUCCUCCCCCUCACCCCUGCUCCCUGGGAUCAUGUUCCCAAAUAAACUACUCAUGCUUAAGCCUUUGUCUCAGGCCCCAUGUAAGAUCUGAUCUUACAUGGAGAAUUUAACAGCAACAACAUCACACCAGGGGCAUGCUCACCAGGGGCAGAGCAGGGGUUCACACCCCGGCAAGCUUCUCUACUCGCUUCCAUGUUGCCUCUCAAAGAUCCCAACCUCUAGAGGACAUUUAAAGGCACAGGCCUAGAUGGAAUCUAACCAUCUAACCGGGAGAGACUGUAAAUAAGAAAAAAGUCCCCACACCAUGCUCACAUUUAGAGAUCAAGAAGAGGAGGAGCCAGCGAAGGAGCCAGAGAAAGAGCUGCCAUCCGGGUAGGAGGAAGCCAGACCAGUGUGGAGUCCUGGACUCCAAAGAAAGACAGCGUUGCAAGGAGGAGCGAGUGCCCUACUGUGCAAACGCUGCUGAGAAAUUGAGGAGGUGAGACCAGGAGACAGACCUUUUGGAUGCGCCAGUAGGAGGUCACUGGUGACUUGGACAAGGGCAGUUUCAAUGGAGUGACAGAAACAAAAACUUGGCUGGUGUAGGCUAAGAGGGAAUGGAGGUGAAGAUUCGGAGAAGUAGCCAGCAGGGACAACCACUUCAAGGAGGGGUGCGUAAAAGGGAGGAGGAAGUGGAGCAGAAGCUGAAGAGGGUGUAGGGUCAAGGAAGAGUUUGUUUUGAAAGUGAGAGAGAUCAUAGCGCAGUUAUGUGCCGAAGGGAAUGGUCUGGCAGAGAGAAGGAGCUGGAUAGUGCAGGAGGGAGAAAGGUGAUUUCAGGCAGUCUUGAGUAAGUGAAGGGAUAUGGUGCACAAAAUGAAGGGAUUGGCCAGGGAUGCAAGAGGAGGCCAUCCCUCCAUCUGUCCAUCCAUCUAUCCAUCUGUCCAUCUGUCUGUCCAUCCAUCCGUCUGUCCGUCCGUCCGUCUGUCCACCCAUCCAUCCAUCCAUCCAUCUGUCCGUCUGUCCAUCUAUCCUUCCGUCCAUCCAUCCAUCCAUCCAUCUAUCCAUGCAUGCACCUUGGGAGAUCUGAUGGUGAGAGGCACGUACGUUCCAGCAGAUGACAUUUAGUUUCUCAGCAAAAUAAGAAGCAAGAUCUUUAACUAACAGCGAGAAACUAAGGGAAGGUGUUGAGGGUUGGAGAAGAUGUGAAACACUUAUCUGGAGAGUGGCGCAGUGAAUUUAGUAGAGAAAUAUAGUAAGAUUACUGGGCAAGCUGAGCGCCCACUUGAAGUUUGUGGUCAGAAGCGUCAAGUGCGGCUAUUCAGUAUGACUGUGAGUUUCCCCGGCAAUGCUCAGCUACUCAGUGCAGGUGCAGGGUGUUGGGUUUAAGCAGGGUGGAGGCUGUGUCAGGAGAUUCCAAAUGAAGGGAAAAGAGCAAGAAAGGAGAGGGCUUCCACAAAUGGGUGAUUCUUGUCAAGGCCUACAGAAUUGAGCUGGAGAAGGGGGUUGAAGGCAGUGAAAAAGGACAAGUUCAAAGGCAGGGAGUUCCCAAAGGGGACACAUCAUUGAAUGGAGGUAAUAGAGUAGAUAAGCUGAGAGCCGAGGAAGGGGUGGUCAGGGAGCAGGGGGUUCAGAAGUGCUGAGGCAAAACCCUGGCCAUGGGAGUGGGAGGCCCAGGCAGCAGAACGAGAGGUGGAGAGUGAGGAGGCCAAAGACCAAGAGUGGGAGGUGCUGGGUGGACAUCUACAUGGAUGACCUUCCUUGUCCACCAUCUCUUAAACAGCUCCCCAUCCUGCCACUACCCCUUCAUCUGCCUUUUCCUUUCAUAGCCCCUCUGUCUAACAUUAUUUUACGUAGGACUGGUUCAUUGGUUAAUUAUCCUUGCUGCCAUCAGAAUGUAAGCAUCUGAGGGCAGGGACAUUUUCUCUCUGGUCUACACUUAUAAACUCUUUUCUAAGAACAUACCUGGCACAGAUUAGGUGCUCAGAAACAUGUGCUGGACAAAAGAAUGAAUUAAUGUUAAGGUCUAGGAAAAGCAUGGAGGAGUGGUGGUGGAGAGGAAGACCGUGGGCCAGGUACUAAAAUCUGUGAAUGAGCAGGAGUGGCCUAGAGUAUGGUAAAUACUAGAAGGGAUGGUGGAUGGUCUGGUCUGAUGGCAUAGCUGCAAAGGAGAUGCAGACUUAGGCUGAGGAGGAAGGGGGAGAAACCUACAGGUGGCCAUGAAAGCAGGGAGGACAACUCGCUGCCUCCAGGCAUACUGAUGUGGAAGAAGAAAACAGAGCCAAGACAGGAGGUGGCUGCAAGGAAGCUGUGUGUGGGGGUCAGGCAGGUUUGCAGUAGAACAGGAUGGUGAAAGGAAUGUUCAAAGGGAAAGUCGAGUGGAUGGGGAGAUUUUGCUGAUGACAAACCAUAAGUUCCCGAGAGCAGAGUGAAAGGAUCUGGGGGAUUGUGUCAGAUUAGGGGAAUAGAGCUACAUGGGGGUGAAAGUCUUGGGGGUGAAGGAUGAACAACAGUGUCAGGCUUCUGGAGGUGUCUAGGGACACAAGGCCACAGGGCAUGAUGGGCUCUCCUGAAGGUCUCUCUUGGGCAAGUGGGUACCCCUGCUCACGCCAGCUCCUCCUCCAGCCAGGGCCCACGGGCCAUGGACCACAGUGAGGCAGUGAUAUUGGCGUUGGAGGGGCCUUGCCAGACACUGAGUGUUCGGGGUGGGAGGAGAGGGCAGCUUUGGGUAUUGGAAGGAAAGUCGAGCAGGCACUCCGGAGACUAGAUUCUCAUCCAAAUCUUUCCUACAAACCAUGACGUAACAUUGGGCAAAAUGGUCAUGAUUUUCCUUAUCUAUAAAAUAGAGAGGAGAGGAGGUCUCUCUUAGCUGUGCAAAUCCUGGCCUCUGUCUCCUUCUUUCCCUGACUUCUUCUAGCUCCUGUCUCCUCAGCCCUCCCGACUUGUAGCUAAGCCCUGGCUUUGUAUUAACCACCCUCCUGCUGUCAGCAUCGCUGAGAGGCAUAGCCAAGGCCUGCCCUCUUCCUCCUCCCUGGCUCCAAAAUGCUCCAUGCACUGUCCCAUGCCACUCUGAUCCUGAGCAGCCAAGUGGGCAGAAUGACACUCCUUUGGGCGUGGAAGUGAACAUCAGCCAUGAGUAGGGAGAGGAAACUGCCCACAGAGAGGGCAGACUCCAUCAGGGGCAAGUGACAAAGCCACAGACUGGCAUGAAGAGGCUUCCCAGGCCCUCUGGAAGGCAGUGAAGCCAGCAGCCUGGCUCCUGGGAUGGGCUGUCCCCUAUUCAGCAGCUCCAUGGGCCUGGAAGUGGGCCCAGGGAGCCAGCCAGAAGGAGGCUGUGGCCAGAGGCUUGAUUUGCAGCCCAGGACUAGGACGCAGGGUUCUCAUCCAGGCUUCACCCACAGCAAAUGUGCGACUCUCCCUGGCCCUCUGGGUGGGGAUUAUAAUAACUACCUUGCUUACCCCAGUUGCUGGAGGCCAAUAUUCACUGAACAUUCAUCAUGAGUCAGGCAUUCAGUAAUCCUCACAAUGGCCCUAGAAAUUGGCCUGUACUAUUUUCAACCCUUAGGGAGGAGGUGACAGACACAUAGAACAUCUAAGUAACUUGCCUGACACUCCACAGCUUGUAAGUGGCAGGGCCAGGCUCUUAGCCCUAAACCAUACAUUAGAGAUUUAUUAUCAUUUAGGUCCCUCAACAAUCUUGUGAUGCAGGUAUUACCAUCCAUUUUACAAACAUGGCAAUGGCUCAGAAGUCUUCAGUUAUUUGCCCAGGGUCACUUGGCUGACUGUAGCAGAAUCAGGAUUUGAACCCAGGCCCAACUUCAAAGCCAGUCCUCUUCUCAUUGGGUUGCGCCCCCAGCAUUAGCACAGGGACAGUUCCUCAGGCUGACUGCCCAAGGCCCCAUCUGUGCAAACAGGAGAGGAAAUGGCAGCCUAACUCCAGGCAGGGCCCGGGCUCAGAAGGGGGUCUACAGGGCUGAAGAGGCAGCUGGCCAGAGAUUCCACAGGAAGCAUCUUGUUGACACAUCUUCAUCACUUUGGAAUUUGAGCAACAACAUUUACCCCUUCUGAAACUCACCCAGAGGAAGCGGAUUUUCUGACGCAUAUGAAGAGUGAGAACUGUCUACAUCUAAGUCUUCUUUGAGAACAAUACCAGCUGAGCGGCUAUUUACAUUCCAGCUUCUUUUGAGAAUCUCUGAAGAUGAUUAAGUCAUUGUCAGCUGGCCCAGAACCAUAUCCUGCUCCACAAGCCUCGUCCUUGGCAAGAAGUUGCACCUGCCCAGAGAGAAAACCUUUUGAAACUGGCACAAAGGCACUGGAGAGACUGGCAGGGCCCCCUACUUGACGAUCUGGCUCAUCCAUCUGCACACUGACCACGCUAAGAGCUGUCUGCAGUGAUGGAAACCUUCUCUAGCUGUGCUGUCCUCUAUAGUGGCACCAGCUGCCUGUGGCUACUGAGCACUUCAACUGUGGCUGCAGAGACUAUGUUAAAUUGUAUUUAAUCAUAAUUAAUUUAAUUGUAAACAACUACAUGUGGCUAGUGGUUUCUGUACUGGGCACUGCAGGUGCACAUUUCCUGCUGGCCAUGGACAGUAAGCUCCAUAAGAGACUAAUUGUGCCUGGUUUGCUUAUAGGCUUAUCCUCAGCACCUGCACCAGCCUAGAAUAUGAUUGGCACUCUAUUAAUUAAAAGUUCCCAGGUAAAUGAAUUAGUGGAUUCUCUGUUUCCUCCACUAUGCCACAACCUCCUUAAGGGCAGAGAUGGUGUCUUCAAAAAAAAAAAAUUCUGGUCAAAAACACAUAAGAUCUACCACCUUCACCAUUGUUGUGUCCAGUUCAGUAGUAUUAACUACACUUACAUUGUGAUACAACAAAAGAUUGUGUCUUUUUACAUUCUUAGGACCCAGCACAGUGUCUGGCACAUAAUCUUAGUAAACACUGGCAGAGCACAUGCCUUUGCCAAGGCCAGAACAGAGGUUCAGUGCCAUCCAUUACCACCCUUUCACACAUCCACUGGGGCUUUAAAAACAACCUGGAAUGAAAGCUGUUGAGUCUAGAGAAAUGGGCUACAAAGAAGGUUUACAAGAUAAUCUAUUAAGAAUAGGGAAUACAGGCCGGGCACGGUGGCUCACACCUGUAAUCCCAGCACUUUGGGAGGCUGAGGUGGGUGGAUCAUUUGAGGUCAGGAGUUCGAGACCAGCCUGGCCAAUGUGGUGAAAUCCUGUCUCUACCAAAAAUUAUCCAGGCAUGGUGGUGCGUGCCUGUAGUCCCAGCUACUUGGGAGGCUGAGGCAUGAGCAUCGCUUGAACCCGGGAGGCAGAGGUUGCAGUGAGCCGAGAUCGCGCCACUACACCCCAGCCUGGGUGACAGAGCAAGACUCCGUCUCAAAAAAAUAAAAAAACCUAAAAUAAAGCUUAAUACACAUGACAUAUGGAUUGGCAGUCACACAUAAAUAUGAUUGAUAAGGAUACAAAUAUUUGGAGGUGCUGCCUGACCAUCUGUUGCUGAUUAUGUGGAGAUCACUUGUCUAGGACCCUGAGAUAGACUGAUGUUUCUAACUCUGCCACACACGGUCUCUCCCACCCUCCAGACACUUUCUUCCUUCAGUUCAGGGAACCCUCAAUACACAGUAAGAAUGAAGAGGUUGCAGGUCUGAGCUUGAGGAGGACUGGACUAAAAGGAGUUUAGCCCUGCCAGGGCAUUCCGAGGACUGUGAAGAUCCGGAAUAUUGGCCACAGGCAUCUAUGUAUUUGAAUCAUAUCCAUUUUUGAGCUCACUCCUAGCAGAGGAGUCAAAACUUACGUUCUGGCCCCCAGGUACAUUUCCAGUCUCUUACUCAUAAAAUUGUGACAUACCCCCAGGGGUGCCCAAAGGGGUUUGUGAAUCAAGAUAGUUUGAGGAGAAUCGAUUUUCUGAUCCUCAGUUUUUCUAUGCUCUUUUUCCUAAAAGCGAUAUUCCUAAAAAGGCAUCCAAGACAAGGCAUCCCCUUUCCCAUUUGCUGGGGAAGACAGCUUUACAAGAGAAAGCUGCCCCUCUCACCCAUGUGACCCCCCACUCUGGGGCACUGCCCUAGGGGUAGAAAUCUCCAAGGCAUCAAACAAAGUGACUCCUGGGGGUCAAGUGACAGAGGAGCAAGUCUUUCUGCAAGUCAAGUGGUUUCCAGCUCUGCUUUCAGCAAAAUUGAAAGAGGCACUAAUCAAAUUGCCAGCGGAUCAUAAAAAAACAUUUUGAUAAUAAUGUUAUUAGGCAUAUAACUUGGAAGAAGUUCAAAGAAUUGAAUGGCAUCCUCAUAACAAACUCAUCGGCUUCCAUUUAUUUAUUUAUGUGGACAGUGUUUCUCAAUGUUUAAACCUACAAAAGACUAAACAUGGGAGUAAACUUCAUGUUGAACCUUGUGUGAGUCUAGCAAUAAGUCAUCCACAUAUACAUACACUAAUUGGGAAGAAAACCUGUCCCAACCCCAACUAUUUUAUUAAGAGAUGCAUUUCCAAUAAAAAUUUACCUUUUAUGUU
rnacentral:lncRNA from 1 species